rnacentral:rRNA from 1 species
AACGUAGGAGACAAACGUUAUCCGGAGUUACUGGGCGUAAAGGGCGUGUAGGUGGUUUCGUAAGUCUGGCGUGAAAUUUCUCGGCUUAACCGAGGCAGGUCGUCGGAUACUGCGGAACUAGAGGACGGUAGAGGCGUGUGGAAUUCCGGGUGUAGUGGUGAAAUGCGUAGAGAUCCGGAGGAACACCAGUGGCGAAAGCGACUUUCUGGUCCUUAACUGACGCUGAGGCGCGAAAGCAUGGGGAGCGAACGGG